CCAGCUCCAAUAGCGUAUAUUAAAGUUGUUGUGGUUAAAAAGCUCGUAGUUGAACCUUGGGCCUGGCUGGCCGGUCCGCCUCACCGCGUGCACUGGUCCGGCCGGGCCUUUCCCUCUGUGGAACCCCAUGCCCUUCACUGGGUGUGGCGGGGAAACAGGACUUUUACUUUGAAAAAAUUAGAGUGCUCCCGGCAGGCCUAUGCUCGAAUACAUUAACAUGGAAUAAUGAAAUAGGACGUGCGGUUCUAUUUUGUUGGUUUCUAGGACCGCCGUAAUGAUUAAUAGGGGCAGUCGGGGGCAUCAGUAUUCAAUUGUCAGAGGUGAAAUUCUUGGAUUUAUUGAAGACUAACUACUGCGAAAGCAUUUGCCAAGGAUGUUUUCAUUAAUCAGGAACGAAAGUUAGGGGAUCGAAGACGAUCAGAUACCGUCCUAGUCUUAGCCAUAAACUAUGCCGACUAGGGAUCGGACGAUGUUAUUUUUUGACUCGUUCGGCACCUUACGAGAAAUCAAAGUGCUUGGGCUCCAGGGGGAGUAUGGUCGCAAGGCUGAAACUUAAAGAAAUUGACGGAAGGGCACCACCAGGGGUGGAGCCUGCGGCUUAAUUCGACUCAAC
rnacentral:rRNA from 1 species